UACGUAGGGGGCUAGCGUUGUCCGGAAUCAUUGGGCGUAAAGCGCGUGUAGGCGGUCCGGUAAGUCCGCUGUGAAAGUCGGGGGCUCAACCCUCGAAUGCCGGUGGAUACUGUCGGGCUAGAGUGCGGAAGAGGCGAGUGGAAUUCCUGGUGGAGCGGUGAAAUGCGCAGAUAUCAGGAGGAACACCCGUAGCGAAGGCGGCACUCUGGGCCGGAACUGACGCUGAGGAGCGAAAGCGUGGGGAGCGAACAGG
rnacentral:rRNA from 1 species